rnacentral:tRNA from 1 species
GGUAAAAUGGCUGAGCAAGCAUUAGCCUGUAAAUCUAAAGACAGAGGUUGUUUGGGUCCUCUUUUUGCCA